UCCACCCUCGACCCAUGUCUCUGCUUAUAUUUGAGACACAGGUUCUUAGUACAUAUAUAAUCUAUACAUUGUUCCAUAGGGGUUCCCUCUAAAAAAACAAACAAAAAAGCAGCCAAACAGAAACCCUUCAUUACGAGCGAGAUCUGUGUGUGUUGUGGGCCUGCAAAGGGGAAAUCGGGAGGCUUUUUGGCUCGCCCAGACCAUCACAGAGGCCAGGCUGGGUAUGUUUUACUGAUCCUGUAUUUAACUAAGACCCAAAGUAUUGUUAUUCACUCUCCGGUUUCAUCUGCGUCUGUCGUAAAAAAGAGGAGGGAGAAAGAAAGGGAAUACUGGACCACUGCUGGAGCCUCCGUGUCUGUUUUCAUUGUGUCGGAGAAUUCCAGUGUUGAGGCUACGAGUGCGCUUUUCCUGGCUCUUCACGCCUUCCUCCCGAAGAAUCGGAGAAGGUACCAAGCGUCAUUCUGCCACCAGUGCACUCCACUCUAAGGAUGCAUGGUUUCAAAGGGACCACAGAACAAAUCAGAGGCCCAUCCCUGCGCACCAAUGGCCUGUCUCUCAUUUCAGAUGGAGAUUGAAGGGCACGUCUGCUCCGGGGGCGCCCACCGCCCUGAGGGCCUCUGCGUCUCCCCUGCGUGAGAGCUGGACCGCUACACGCACCAAAAAACCCGUCGACCCCCGCAAUCGGCUGUCUGUCUGGACCCGCUGUCGAAUACUCCCCACUGGACACACACAGACACAGACGCACAGUCGGACGGGGCGAGCACUGCUUGGCCAUGGGGCGCGAUGAUAACAAAAAAAUAUUGCGGGCGUCCGUGUCUUCACAGCGGACUGCCCUCCCCCACCACCACCACCACCAUUACCACCACCAGACUGGAUCCGACGGGGGACCGCAGGGCCCUCGCAGCAACAUUUUUGCCGUGAGGGAGAGGAGCAGAGAAGUUACCGCCUCUGCUCCUGAGGCAGAGCCGCCGGCAGCUUAGAGAGACCAAGAGGCAACAGCGAACAAGAGAGAUUAGCCACAGACCCCACAGUGGCCCCAACCAUACCUCCAUACGUCCCUCCCACGAACAGGCCGACCAGUGACCCCAGCAGCGACUCCCUUCUCACCAGAGAGGACAGCCACCUAAUCCACCCUGUCAGCUUUUCCCACAAGCCCCCGAGGAAAGACGGAGCAGAGGUGGAAGGUGAAACAUCAGUAGAGGGAAAAAUGCUAUCUACAUCCACAUUCAGGUCACCUAUGCUCCUCUCUGCUUCUUCCCGGACCUCUUCCAAUUCUUCCUCAUUCUCCAGUUGGGAGUCUGUGGGAGACACCUGGUCAUUCAGCUCCUCUCUUCUCUGUCUCACUAUCUCUGCCUGCCUCUCUCUCACCCUUUCCUCAGCCUCCUGGUACAGAGGGCAGCUAAAGUGUAAACCCCCACUCUUCAUAACUGCCUGCUCGACUUUCUCCAGCAGCUCCUCCACCGCUGUCCUUCCAUCUUGUUCUCCACUGCGGGCUUCCAGGGUGUGGUAGCGCUCUCCACAUCUCUCCACCAGCUCCAUUAGGUCCUUUCGCCAUGUGACGAGGUAUUCUUCCAGCUGCUCGUCCUCAUCCAGCACAUCUGUGUGGGUGAAGAGUAUGAUGGUAUUUCUGCUUACAGCAGAGGAACCAAAGAGCUUCUUCAGGACAUCCAGUGCCUUGGCCUCUUCAUCAGCCGGCUGGUUUGCUGGGACACAGAGCAGAAAGGCGUGUGGUCCAGGGCUGGAUGAGGCAAUGAAGGAGGAAAUGUAAUUUCUUCUUUCCUCUGAGUUACAACCUGAACCGUACCAGGCUGGACUAGAGACUAUCACCACCUGCAGAGACGUGACAGAAGCAUAAAGAAAAAGCAAUUACAAUUGAUUACAAUGCACCUGUUUUAAAAAAAUGUCUGUUAUUUACAAAGAUUUUUUUUUUUACUUUGGUAUUCUUAAACUGAACUCACUACGUGAAUGAAGUUCAGUCUGUGUGUGCAUGGCAAUUCCAAAAUUUCUUCACAAAUUUCAUGGAUAUUUACACUUUUAUAAGGAUUAAAGUCAGUAAAUUCAGAGAUUUACUGAACACAUUUUUCAUGUUGGAAACAAAAGCACUGAAAAAAUAUGAAAAGACUGAACUACAUUGGAAUGCACUGUUGAGAUACCUUUGCAUCUUUAUUUAUAAGUGUGUUUAGGACUUACUCUUGUCUUAAUAAUACACUAACUCUAUAGCAAACCCUAAUACAGAAUACCCUUACAGAAUCCACUACAUGUUAGCAUCAGUGGUUCUGCUGAUCCACUGAAAGUUACUACAACCUGCAGUUUGCUAGCUACCUUUGACUUGUAAAUCGUUCUUGGAUGUCAGAAUUUGAAUUGCAGAAGCCAGUUUAACACAGAUUUAUGGAUCAAUCUGUUACCAGUGAAAGCUAUGGAACCAAGGAACAAAUCUCAGGGCUCAAACACAACUAAUUCGAAUUACUACUUGAGGCUGGCUCCAAAAGCGAGUCGAUCCUCUGCUGUUAAAAUACUCGACUCAGAAAUGAAAAUAACACAUUUACAGCUAAAACAGUUUUGGUCUCAAACAUUUAUUCACAUCCUUAAAACAAUUGUAUGUUUGUAUAAACCACCUAUUUGAAUUUUUUAAGGCUAGUCAGUUGAGUUCUUGCUUGUGGCCCUUUGGCCUGUUUUUAAUAGCUUAUCUGACAAAUAACAAAGCUUUCUGUGUGGCACAGCCCGUCCGAGAAGUGUGCACUCCAGUUUUGGUUAGUAAAACUUGAGUAUUUUAUUAGUUUAUUACAAGGCAUUAGCCAGUAUCUCUGUUCAUACAGUUUACAGAUGCAGGUUGGCAAGCAAGCUUGUUAGCAUUAGCUUAUGAUACAGAAAUUCACAAUCUUGACCUAAUACGGGCACUUCUGACUCGGAAAAAAAAAAAACAUUGGUGGAAGCCAAACCCUAAUGUUAAAAAAUUAAGAUUAAAAAAUGUGGGUCACAACCACAGUGGCUACAUCCAUCUUUUAUUUACAGCCUGUGUAUAUAACAUCUUAAUCUCCCUCCCCUUCAUCCUCUUGUCCUUGUCCAUUGUCAGCAGUUCCUUCACACUAAUAAAUGUAUCUUGCCUUGUUUGCUUAUAUUAGAAUUACACUAGGCAAGCCUUUCACAGUAGUAUCGUCCACUUUGCCUUCCUUGGAGGCUGUAAAACAAAUUUAACUGCAUUGACCACCCAGCAGAUUCAGGUGUUUGUUUUUGCUUUGGUGUGAAGGCUAAUGGUAGAAUUACUGAGCCUUUUAACCACAUUUGUUUGUUUUUUAUAUAUAUAGUUGACCACAUGAGAGCAACAGCUGCAAAGUGAUGAAUAUAUUUAGUAUCGGUGUGCAUCAAGAUUUCACACCAUAGAGUGCA